AGAGUUUGAUCCUGGCUCAGAACGAACGCUGGCGGCGUGCUUAACACAUGCAAGUCGAACGGGAUCCAGAGCUUGCUCUGGUGAGAGUGGCGCACGGGUGAGUAACGCGUGGAUAACCUGCCCUGGUAUCCGGAAUAACAUCUCGAAAGGGGUGCUAAUACCGGAUAAGCCUACGGAGCCUUCGGUCUCUGCAGGAAAAGGUGGCCUCUAUUUAUAAGCUACCGUAUCAGGAUGGGUCCGCGUACCAUUAGCUAGUUGGUGGGGUAAUGGCCUACCAAGGCGACGAUGGUUAGCUGGUCUGAGAGGAUGAUCAGCCACACUGGAACUGAGACACGGUCCAGACUCCUACGGGAGGCAGCAGUGGGGAAUUUUGCGCAAUGGGGGAAACCCUGACGCAGCAACGCCGCGUGAGUGAUGAAGGCUUUCGGGUCGUAAAGCUCUGUCAGAGGGGAAGAAAUGAGAUUGGCUAAUAUCCAAUUUUCUUGACGGUACCCUCAAAGGAAGCACCGGCUAACUCCGUGCCAGCCGCCGCGGUAAUAC
rnacentral:rRNA from 1 species